rnacentral:rRNA from 1 species
UUACCAAAAACAUCGCUUCUUNAAACUAAUAUAAACUGCCUGCCAGUGCCUAGUGUUUAACGGCCCGGUAUUUACGUGCAAAGGAGCGCAAUCACUUGUUCUUAAAUGAGACCUGUAUGAAUGGCCGACGAGGGCUUGACUGUCUCCUCUUUCCGGUCAAUGAAAUUGAUCUCCCCGUGCAGAAGCGGGGAUAACAUCAUAAGACGAGAAGACCCUAUGAAGCUUUAGAUACCAGAGCAGACUAUGUUUUUACCCCCUUUUAAAGAACUAAACUUAAUAGCCCCUGCCCAAAUGUCUUUGGUUGGGGCGACCGCGGGGAAAUAAAUAACCCCCAUGUGGCAGGGAGAACUAACUCCUACGACCGAGAGCUACAGCUCUAAGCAACAAAAUUUUUGACCAGUAAGAUCCGGCAACGCCGAUCAACGAACCGAGUUACUCUAGGGAUAACAGCGCAAUCCCCUUAUAGAGCCCCUAUCGACAAGGGGGUUUACGACCUCGAUGUUGGAUCAGGACAUCCUAAUGGUGCAGCCGCUAUUAAGGGUUCGUUUGUUCAACGAUUAAGUCUAUGAUCUGAGUUAGAACCGG